rnacentral:rRNA from 1 species
AGAGUUUGAUCCUGGCUCAGGACGAACGCUGGCGGCGCGCCUAACACAUGCAAGUCGAACGAGAGAGAGGGAGCUUGCUUCCUUGAUCGAGUGGCGAACGGGUGAGUAACGCGUGAGGAACCUGCCUCAAAGAGGGGGACAACAGUUGGAAACGACUGCUAAUACCGCAUAAGCCCACGACCCGGCAUCGGGAAGAGGGAAAAGGAGCAAUCCGCUUUGAGAUGGCCUCGCGUCCGAUUAGCUAGUUGGUGAGGUAACGGCCCACCAAGGCGACGAUCGGUAGCCGGACUGAGAGGUUGAACGGCCACAUUGGGACUGAGACACGGCCCAGACUCCUACGGGAGGCAGCAGUGGGGAAUAUUGCACAAUGGGGGAAACCCUGAUGCAGCGACGCCGCGUGGAGGAAGAAGGUCUUCGGAUUGUAAACUCCUGUUGUUGAGGAAGAUAAUGACGGUACUCAACAAGGAAGUGACGGCUAACUACGUGCCAGCAGCCGCGGUAAAACGUAGGUCACAAGCGUUGUCCGGAAUUACUGGGUGUAAAGGGAGCGCAGGCGGGCGAUCAAGUUGGAAGUGAAAUCCAUGGGCUCAACCCAUGAACUGCUUUCAAAACUGGUCGUCUUGAGUAGUGCAGAGGUAGGCGGAAUUCCCGGUGUAGCGGUGGAAUGCGUAGAUAUCGGGAGGAACACCAGUGGCGAAGGCAGCUCACUGGAGCGCAACUGACGCUGAAGCUCGAAAGUGCGGGUAUCGAACAGGAUUAGAUACCCUGGUAGUCCGCACGGUAAACGAUGGAUGCCCGCUGUUGGUCUGAAUAGGUCAGCGGCCAAGCGAAAGCAUUAAGCAUCCCACCGGGGGAGUACGCCGGCAACGGUGAAACUCAAAGGAAUUGACGGGGGCCCGCACAAGCGGAGGAACAUGUGGUUUAAUUCGAUGAUACGCGAGGAACCUUACCCGGGCUUGAAUUGCAGAGGAAGGAUUUGGAGACAAUGACGCCCUUCGGGGCCUCUGUGAAGGUGCUGCAUGGUUGUCGUCAGCUCGUGCCGUGAGGUGUCGGCUUAAGUGCCAUAACGAGCGCAACCCCUCUCCUUAGUUGCCAUCAGGUUAAGCUGGGCACUCUGGGGACACUGCCACCGUAAGGUGUGAGGAAGGUGGGGAUGACGUCAAAUCAGCACGGCCCUUACGUCCGGGGCUACACACGUGUUACAAUGGCAGGUACGGAGAGACGGUCCCUUGCAAAACGGAUCAAAUCCUUAAAGCCUGUCUCAGUUCGGACUGGGGUCUGCAACCCGACCCCACGAGGCUGGAUUCGCUAGUAAUCGCGCAUCAGCCAUGGCGCGGUGAAUACGUUCCCGGGCCUUGUACACACCGCCCGUCAAGCCAUGAAAGCCGGGGGCGCCUAAAGUCCGUGACCGUAAGGAGCGGCCUAGGGCGAAACUGGUAAUUGGGGCUAAGUCGUAACAAGGUA